AAUGCUUCUCCUUGAGACACCCUCUUAGAACCCAGCCACCAUCCUGUCAGGAGACUCAGCUACCAAAAGAGGCCACAUGCUGCUGCUCCAAGCAACAGUUGCAGAAAGCAUAAAUCACCUCCUUUUCUGAACAAAGGAAUGAAAAAGUGAAGUAAGAGCCUGAGUGAACAAUUACCUCCAGAAGCUAAGUGUGACGCUACAGAACCACUUCCAUGGGAUAGAGAACAUUAUACAUGCAGUGACAAUAUAAUUGAAUCAUUCAAACCUGGGCCAUUUUUGAUCAAGGAGCUGUGGAGAGGUGGGGCACUAACAAAGCCAGUCACCACCUGAGUGUUGAGUGCUGAAUGCCAUGAACAGCAUCCUGUGGAGCUGCUGCUAAGGAAACUGGAUAGAAGGAGGUGAAAAAAUACCAAGCUGAAGCAGAUCGAUGAAGACCAACAAUGACUCUAAUGUCUGCUCCACAAAAAUAUCUGUAAAAAUCCCUUACAUAUUUCAACCUGCCGGUCUUCGCUGGUUUGUACAGUUCUCCCAAUCUGGAAAUCGUAUUCCAGUUUCCAAGUACACAGGGACUUCUUUUACUUAUUACACCCAAUGACCUGCUCAAAUCUACCCUACAUGUGUGCAACUGCCAAGAUUUUCAGCUUUGAGUGAAAAAGUUCCUCCUAUAGCAGUAGGCCUGCCAACCAAGCCAACUCCAGUCCCUCAGGCUAACAGAGAGGCAUUUAGAAGA